UGCAUAGCUACUUAUAUACUGCAGUCGAGCGGACCAAAGAAGAGCUUGCUCUUCGGCGGUUAGCGGCGGACGGGUGAGUAACACGUAGGCAACCUGCCUGUACGACUGGGAUAACUCCGGGAAACCGGAGCUAAUACCGGAUACGUUUUUCAGACCGCAUGGUCUGAAAGAGAAAGACCUUUGGUCACGUACAGAUGGGCCUGCGGCGCAUUAGCUAGUUGGUGGGGUAACGGCCUACCAAGGCGACGAUGCGUAGCCGACCUGAGAGGGUGAUCGGCCACACUGGGACUGAGACACGGCCCAGACUCCUACGGGAGGCAGCAGUAGGGAAUCUUCCGCAAUGGACGAAAGUCUGACGGAGCAACGCCGCGUGAACGAUGAAGGUUUUCGGAUCGUAAAGUUCUGUUGUUAGGGAAGAACCGCCGGGAUGACCUCCCGGUCUGACGGUACCUAACGAGAAAGCCCCGGCUAACUACGUGCCAGCAGACGCGGUAAUACGUAGGGGGCAAGCGUUGUCCGGAAUUAUUGGGCGUAAAGCGCGCGCAAGCGGCAUCUUAAGUCAGGUGUGAAAGCCCCACGGCUCAACCGUGGAG
rnacentral:rRNA from 1 species